rnacentral:rRNA from 1 species
GACGAACGCUGGCGGCGUGCUUAACACAUGCAAGUCGAACGCUGAAGCUCAGCUUUUGUUGGGUGGAUGAGUGGCGAACGGGUGAGUAACACGUGAGUAACCUGCCCCCUUCUUUGGGAUAACGCCCGGAAACGGGUGCUAAUACUGGAUAUUCACUGGUCUUCGCAUGGGGGUUGGUGGAAAGGGUUUUUCUGGUGGGGGAUGGGCUCGCGGCCUAUCAGCUUGUUGGUGGGGUGAUGGCUUACCAAGGCUUUGACGGGUAGCCGGCCUGAGAGGGUGACCGGUCACAUUGGGACUGAGAUACGGCCCAGACUCCUACGGGAGGCAGCAGUGGGGAAUAUUGCACAAUGGGCGCAAGCCUGAUGCAGCGACGCCGCGUGAGGGAUGGAGGCCUUCGGGUUGUGAACCUCUUUCGCUCAUGGUCAAGCCGCAACAAUGGUUGUGGUGAGGGUAGUGGGUAAAGAAGCGCCGGCUAACUACGUG